GGGUGGAGGUCGGAUCCUGAGCUGUGUCCCUGCGCCCUGUGCUCCUGGGCCUGUGCUGUUGGAUUCGCGCUCCUGGCCGUGCAGCCCCCU
rnacentral:pre_miRNA from 1 species